UAGGCUAAAGUCAGUCACACACCUCGACUUUCUUCCAAAUAACGCACAUUUCAUUCAUAAUGUUAUAAUACAGGCCUAUAGUUCCUGCAAAUGAUACUAGGCAAUACAAAACGAUUAUGCGGUCAUCAAGGUGAAUUGGUUUAGUCUUGACUUCUGGUCGUGAGUGACAGGUGGGGGGAUGGGAAAUCUGUUGAUUGUCGAGUGCCAAAUAAACAGAGAUGGAGAAGAAAAGGUCAAAGCCAGGUGCCCAAUUUCGAAAAAAAAGAAAAGAAGAAGAGGAGAAACGAGCAAAAGAUAAAGGGGCACUUCUAAAAUAUUUUGGAGCAUCCUCUGCCACUGGUCAGGAUGAGCCAACCACCUCCUCCGCUACACAUGUCUCCACAAAUAUCUGAUAUUGUGGAUGAAGACCUCUUUGCCUCUACUUCUACCCAGCAUGAGCUUUCAGAAAUGCCUGGAGCUGAACUCCCACUGAGCCCCACUGGCCCUCACAUCUGACUGACAGGAUUCGGACUGAGCUGGUUCACAGAGGACCAAGUAAAGUGCCACCUGGCUUUGUUUACCGUAGGAAUGAGAGUAAUGGGAGAAGUUGCCACCACUAAUAUUUUAAGAAGACAUUAGUAAGUGGUGAAAAGAUGGCAAGAAGUUGGCUGAUUUAUUUAAUUAAGAACAACAGCCUCUUUUGCUUCUGCUGCAAAUUUGUUUUCCAAGAGGAACAUCAAUUUAACAAGUGCAGGAAUGGCAAAUUGGAAACGUGCAUGCAAUAAUCUGACAUCAUA